UACGGGGGGAGCAAGCGUUGUUCGGAUUUACUGGGCGUAAAGGGCGCGUAGGCGGCCACCGCAAGUCGGUUGUGAAAUCUCUGGGCUUAACCCAGAAAGGUCAACCGAUACUGCGGGGCUAGAGUGCAGAAGGGGCAACUGGAAUUCCUGGUGUAGCGGUGGAAUGCGCAGAUAUCAGGAGGAACACCAAUAGCGAAGGCAGCUCGCUGGGACGGUACUGACGCUAAGGCGCGAAAGCGUGGGGAGCGAACAGG
rnacentral:rRNA from 1 species